CCUACGGGGGGCAGCAGUGAGGAAUAUUGGUCAAUGGGCGGAAGCCUGAACCAGCCAAGUAGCGUGCGGGAUGAAGGCCCUACGGGUCGUAAACCGCUUUUGCACGGGGAUAACACCCUCCACGUGUGGCGGUCUGCAGGUACCGUGCGAAUAAGGACCGGCUAAUUCCGUGCCAGCAGCCGCGGUAAUACGGAGGGCCCGAGCGUUAUCCGGAUUCAUUGGGCUUAAAGGGAGCGUAGGCGGGCGUUCAAGUCAGCUGUAAAAUCGCGCGGCUCAACCGCGCCCCGCAGUUGAAACUGGAUGUCUUGAGUUGACAAAAGGCAGGCGGAAUGCGUGGUGUAGCGGUGAAAUGCAUAGAUAUCACGAGGAACCCCGAUUGCGAAGGCAGCCUGCCGGGGUGCGACUGACGCUGAGGCUCGAAGGUGCGGGUAUCAAACAGGAUUAGAUACCCUGGUAGUC
rnacentral:rRNA from 1 species